UGCAAUUUGGUAGUUGGUAGAGCAUGAGACUCUUAAUCUCAGGGUCGUGGGUUCAAGCCCCACAUUGGGCAA